GAUGAACGCUGGCGGCGUGCUUAACACAUGCAAGUCGAACGAAGCAUUUAAGACAGAUUACUUCGGUUUGAAGUCUUUUAUGACUGAGUGGCGGACGGGUGAGUAACGCGUGGGUAACCUGCCUCAUACAGGGGGAUAGCAGCUGGAAACGGCUGGUAAUACCGCAUAAGCGCACAGUACCACAUGGUACAGUGUGAAAAACUCCGGUGGUAUGAGAUGGACCCGCGUCUGAUUAGCUAGUUGGCGGGGUAACGGCCCACCAAGGCGACGAUCAGUAGCCGACCUGAGAGGGUGACCGGCCACAUUGGGACUGAGACACGGCCCAGACUCCUACGGGAGGCAGCAGUGGGGAAUAUUGCACAAUGGAGGAAACUCUGAUGCAGCGACGCCGCGUGAGUGAAGAAGUAGUUCGCUAUGUAAAGCUCUAUCAGCAGGGAAGAUAGUGACGGUACCUGACGAAGAAGCUCCGGCUAAAUACGUG
rnacentral:rRNA from 1 species